GGGCCGGGCUGUGCUGAGGCCGGCGGGGUGGUAGCACAGGAGGGGUUCGCAGGCUCUGCGGCCGUGCGUGGCGGGGCGUGGGGGCCCGCAGGGCGGAAGUAGCUCGGAGAGACGGGCUGGGGCAGGGCGUGCGUUCGUGCGGUCAAAAUCCACUGGUGGCGUUUGGGGUGUUCCCGUGGACGCGGCCUCCCGGCAGGCGGACCUCCACCGGGUGGGCGCGGCAGGCGGGCUGUGCGGGCAGGAAGAGCGACGAGCUUGAGAGUGGGAGAUGGGGUGCAACGGCGGGCCUCUCCGGGGAGGUGACACUGCCGCUGAGACCCGAAUGGAAGGGCGCGCCCGGCGGGGGAACAGCAGGCGCCGAGGUGGACCCAGGGGCAGCUGCGGCUAGUCCAUUUGGAGCUCCUUCAAGCCGAAGCAUCCAACACCAGUGUCUGUGAGGUGUGGGCCCGGCCCCAGGAGCGGGGCCUGGGCAGCCCCGUGUGUUGAGGAAGGAAGGCAGGGCCCCCGCUCCCCGGGCCUGACCCCACUGCUUCAGCCCCCUCCUGCCUGCCUACAGCCUGGCCUCGAGGGCCCAUCAGAUGGAGUCUCACUGUAGUCCAGAUGGAGUGCAAUGGCGUGAUCUCGGCUCACUGCAAGCUCCGCCUCCCCGGUUCACGCCAUUCUCUUGCCUCAGCCUCCUGAGUAGCUGGGACUACAGGUGCCCGCCACCACACCCG
rnacentral:lncRNA from 1 species